AUCUAGCUGACGAGUCCCAAAUAGGACAAAACAAAAGUCUCGGAU
rnacentral:hammerhead_ribozyme from 1 species